UACGGAGGAUGCGAGCGUUAUCCGGAUUUAUUGGGUUUAAAGGGUGCGUAGGCGGGUUAUCAAGUCAGCGGUAAAAUCGUGGAGCUCAACUCCAUCCAGCCGUUGAAACCGGAGCGCUAGAAUUCCGAUGCCGUCGGAGGAAUGUGUGGUGUAGCGGUGAAAUGCAUAGAUAUCACACAGAACACCGAUUGCGAAGGCAUCUGACGAAUCGGAGAUUGACGCUGAUGCACGAAAGCGUGGGGAGCAAACAGG
rnacentral:rRNA from 1 species